rnacentral:rRNA from 1 species
CAAGGAAUCUUCCGCAAUGGGGGCAACCCUGACGGAGCAACGCCGCGUGGGGGAGGACGCCCUUCGGGGUGUAAACCCCUUUUCGGCCGGACGAACGGGUGGGGAGACCUGCCCCUGACGGUACGGCCAGAAGCAGGACCGGCUAACUACGUGCCAGCAGCCGCGGUAAUACGUAGGGUCCGAGCGUUGUCCGGAGUUACUGGGCGUAAAGCGCGCGCAGGCGGCGGUGCUGGCCCGGCGUGAAAGCCCCCGGCUCAACCGGGGAGGGUCGUCGGGGACCGCACCGCUUGAGGGCGGUAGGGGCCGGUGGAAUGCCUGGUGUAGUGGUGAAAUGCGUAGAGAUCAGGCAGAACACCUGGGGCGAAGGCGGCCGGCUGGGCCGACCCUGACGCUGAGGCGCGAAGGCGUGGGGAGCGAACGGG